UACGGGGGGGGCAAGCGUUGUUCGGAAUUACUGGGCGUAAAGGGCUCGUAGGCGGCCAACUAAGUCAGACGUGAAAUCCCUCGGCUUAACCGGGGAACUGCAUCUGAUACUGGAUGGCUUGAGAUUGGGAGAGGGAUGCGGAAUUCCAGGUGUAGCGGUGAAAUGCGUAGAUAUCAGGAGGAACACCAGCGGCGAAGGCGGCGCUCUGGGCCGGUACUGACGCUGAGACGCGAAAGCGUGGGGAGCGAACAGG
rnacentral:rRNA from 1 species